rnacentral:rRNA from 1 species
AGUGGCGCACGGGUGCGUAACGCGUGGGAAUCUGCCCUUGGGUUCGGAAUAACUUCGGGAAACUGAAGCUAAUACCGGAUGAUGACGUAAGUCCAAAGAUUUAUCGCCCAAGGAUGAGCCCGCGUAGGAUUAGCUAGUUGGUGAGGUAAAGGCUCACCAAGGCUACGAUCCUUAGCUGGUCUGAGAGGAUGAUCAGCCACACUGGGACUGAGACACGGCCCAGACUCCUACGGGAGGCAGCAGUGGGGAAUAUUGGACAAUGGGCGAAAGCCUGAUCCAGCAAUGCCGCGUGAGUGAUGAAGGCCUUAGGGUUGUAAAGCUCUUUUACCCGGGAAGAUAAUGACUGUACCGGGAGAAUAAGCCCCGGCUAACUCCGUGCCAGCAGCCGCGGUAAUACGGAGGGGGCUAGCGUUGUUCGGAAUUACUGGGCGUAAAGCGCACGUAGGCGGCUUUGUAAGUUAGAGGUGAAAGCCCGGGGCUCAACUCCGGAAUUGCCUUUAAGACUGCAUCGCUCGAACGUCGGAGAGGUGAGUGGAAUUCCGAGUGUAGAGGUGAAAUUCGUAGAUAUUCGGAAGAACACCAGUGGCGAAGGCGACUCACUGGACGACUGUUGACGCUGAGGUGCGAAGGCGUGGGGAGCAAAC